AUGGUGGCAAGGGCAGCUGAGGCGGCUGCAGCAGCAGUAGAAGAGGUCAGCUCAGCCGGGCAGUUUGAAGAGCUGCUGCACCUCAAAGCCAAGUCCCUCUUUGUGGCCCACUUCUGGGCACCACAGGUUCCACAAUGUGCACAGAUGAACGAAGUUAUGGCAGAGUUAGCUAAAGAACACCCUCAAGUUUCAUUUGUGAAGUUGGAAGCUGAAGGUGUCCUGAAGUAUCUGAAAAAUAUGAAAUUAGCUCUGUUCCCACUGUUCCGUUUUUCAAUAAUUCUCAAAAAAUUGACUGAUUAGAUGGUGCACAUGUCCCAGAGUUGACCAAAAAAGUUCAGCGACAUGCAUCUAGUGGCUCCUUCCCAGCCAGCACUGAUGAACAUCUCAAAGCAGAUCGCAAUCUGCGCUUGAAGAAAUUGACUCAUGCUGCCCGCUGCAUGCUGUUUAUGAAAGGGACUCCUCAAGACCCACGCUGUGGUUUCAGCGAGCAGAUGGUGGAAAUUCUUCACAAGCAUGUUUAGUUUAGCAGUUCUCAUGUCUUCUCAGAUGAAGAGGUUUGGCAGGGGCUCAAAGCCUAUUCCAAUUGGCCUACCUAUCCUCAGCUCCACGUUUCUGGAGAGCUCAUAUAAUUAAGGAGCUACAACCAUCUGAAGAACUAGAUACAAUUUGUCCCAAAGCCCCCAAAUUAGAGGAAAGGCUCAAAGUGCUGACAAAUAAAGCUUCUGUGAUGCUCUUUAUGAAAGGAAACAAACAGGAAGCAAAAUGUGGAUUCAGCAAACAAAUUCUGGAAAUACUAAAUAGAACUGGGGUUGAAUGUGAAACAUUCGAUAUAUUGGAGGAUAAAGGAGUUCAGCAAGGAUUAAAAGCUUAUUCAAAUUGGCCAGCAUACCCUCAGCUGUAUGUGAAAGGGGAGCUGGUGGGAAGAUUGGAUAUCGUGAAGGAGCUGAAAGAAAAUGGUGAAUUGCUGCCUAUACUGAGAGGAGAAAAUUAAUAAAUCUUAAACUUGGUGCCCAGCUAUUGCAA